AUGCAAGUCGAACGGCAGCACGGAGAGCUUGCUCUCUGGUGGCGAGUGGCGAACGGGUGAGUAAUAUAUCGGAACGUAUCCAAUAAUGGGGGAUAACGAGUCGAAAGAUUCGCUAAUACCGCAUACGCCCUACGGGGGAAAGCAGGGGAUCGUAAGACCUUGCGUUAAUGGAGCGGCCGAUAUCUGAUUAGCUUGUUGGUGAGGUAAAGGCUCACCAAGGCGACGAUCAGUAGCUGGUUUGAGAGAACGACCAGCCACACUGGAACUGAGACACGGUCCAGACUCCUACGGGAGGCAGCAGUGGGGAAUUUUGGACAAUGGGGGCAACCCUGAUCCAGCCAUUCCGCGUGAGUGAAGAAGGCCUUCGGGUUGUAAAGCUCUUUCGCAAGGGAAGAAAACUUAUGAUCGAAUAAAUCAUGAGGUUGACGGUACCUUGAUAAGAAGCACCGGCUAACUACGUGCCAGCAGCCGCGGUAAUACGUAGGGUGCGAGCGUUAAUCGGAAUUACUGGGCGUAAAGCGUGCGCAGGCGGUUUUGUAAGUCGGAUGUGAAAUCCCCGGGCUCAACCUGGGAACUGCGUUCGAAACUGCAAGGCUAGAGUGUGUCAGAGGGGGGUAGAAUUCCACGUGUAGCAGUGAAAUGCGUAGAGAUGUGGAGGAAUACCAAUGGCGAAGGCAGCCCCCUGGGAUAACACUGACGCUCAUGCACGAAAGCGUGGGGAGCAAACAGGAUUAGAUACCCUGGUAGUCCACGCCCUAAACGAUGUCAACUAGUUGUUGGUAGAGUAAAAUCUAUGAGUAACGUAGCUAACGCGUGAAGUUGACCGCCUGGGGAGUACGGUCGCAAGAUUAAAACUCAAAGGAAUUGACGG
rnacentral:rRNA from 1 species